GACGAACGCUGGCGGCGUGCUUAACACAUGCAAGUCGAACGGAAAGGCCUGCUUUCCCUUGUGGAUUGCGGGUACUCGAGUGGCGAACGGGUAAGUAACACGUGAGUGAUCUGCCCCCAACUUGGGUAUAAGCCUGGGAAACUGGGUCUAAUUCCCGAUAGGACUGCAGGGUGGUGCCUGUGGUGGAAAACGAUUUUCUAGUGGUUGGGGAUGAGCUCGCGGCCUAUCAGCUUGUUGGUGGGGUAAUGGCCUACCAAGGCGGCGACGGGUAGCCGGCCUGGGAGGGUGGACGGCCACAUUGGGACUGAGAUACGGCCCAGACUCCUACGGGAGGCAGCAGUGGGGAAUAUUGCACAAUGGGCGGAAGCCUGAUGCAGCGACGCCGCGUGGGGGAUGACGGCCUUCGGGUUGUAAACUCCUUUCGACCGCGAGGAAGCCACCUGGUUGGAAGGGUGGUGACGGUAGUGGUAGAAGAAGCACCGGCUAACUACGUG
rnacentral:rRNA from 1 species